ACCCACACCAACCAGCUCUCUGACCGACUCUCUCAGGGGGCCCCCGCAUGUUGUCUCUCUCCCCCUUUUAUAGUUCUCUCCCACCAAUCCGUGCUCUGCCAGCGUUCUCUCUCCACACGCUGAGCCUCCCAUCAGAGGCUGAAUCAGGAAUCAGCCAAUCGACAAAGCAGCUGUGUAAGAUUGGUUUACUCCCUCUCAGCGCCAUAUGGUGGGAGAUCAGACGCAUAGAGUUAGUUUCAGUCCACAGUCUCAGUACUUAUUUGUCUCCUGGGCGCCCCGCCAUGUUGCGGGAGAGGGACCCUGUUCCCCACAAGCAUCCUGCCCACAGUGCUGAGAAUCAAGUGCCUGUGCCUUGCUGAUAAGCAGCAGUGCACGGGGCCAGGUCACCAAGUACAGGGGCUGCUGCCUUAGGUGGAGUAGUGGAGGCCAGGGGGUUGAAGAUCUAAGCAACCUCUCCCAUCUGAGAGCCCUCACGAGGGUUCUCACAGGAGCCUUGGCACGCUCUGUUCUUGGGCACCUGCUACCUAGAGGACAAGAGGGCCAGCUUGUACCAGUUUGCUAGUAUCAUGCAGCGACCUGCCAGAGAGAUGAAGAGGGCUUCGGAAUUUGUAGAAGAUGGAGUUAAAAUUGCGAGUGUUUCGAGGCCGGCGCCGUGGCUCACUUGGUUAAUCCUCCACCUGUGGCACCGGCAUCCCAUAUGGGCGCCGGGUUCUAAUCCCAGUUGCUCCUCUUCCAGUCCAUCUCUCUGCUGUGGCCCAGGAGGGCAGUGGAGGAUGGCCCAGGUGCUUGGGCCCCUGCACCUGCAUGGGAGACCAGGAGGAAGCACCUGGCUCCUGGCUUUGGAUCGGCUCAGCGCCGGUCGUGGCAGCCAUUUUGGGAGUGAACCAAUGGAAGGAAGACCUUUCUCUCUGUCUCUCUCUCACUGUCUAUAACUCUACCUGUCAAAUAAAAAAAAUAUAUUGCAAGUGUU